GUACAACGAAGAAGAAAAAGACCGGAUGUUUAUGUCAAUGACGUUAGCAGGCGUCAUUUUCAAAGCUCUUUACGGCCGUUGUCUUGGUGCUGAGUGUUUAACUCUGUACAAACAAUAAAGCGCAACUACUACUUCGGUAAACUACACCGGUAACAUUAGCAGGAUGGGUUCACGCUAACACCUAACCGGCUUGUGUGAAGAUUUUUUUUCAUGUAGGACUGUUUUCAUAUCAGUGACUGGAAGCUGGAAAUAUUAUGGACAAUCUGGAUUUCUCAGAGGAGGAAAUUCAAGAACAGUUAGCCCUCCUUGGCUACAAAAACAUACCAAAGCACAGGCUGCGUGAAUUUAAACAAGAUCUGGAUGAGCUGGUUCGACGAGGGGAGUGGAAAGGCCUUUCCUCAUCAAAUGAGAUAAAUGCCAAAUCUCAGGCAACUACACCUCAGCCAAGUCCCCCUGCCUAUACCAAAGAAAAGGUUAGUCCACACUGCUUUAAAGGCACUAGUGAAUCAUUCUUCCUACAUGCAGGCAGUACAGACCAUGCCAGAAAGACGCUCAUCA